GCUAACUUGGUGUACAACGCACACUGGCUUUUCGCGCCAAUGGAACAUCUUAUGUACUUAGCC
rnacentral:tRNA from 1 species